UUGCAGGGUAUAGACCCGAAACCCGGUGAUCUAGCCAUGGGCAGGUUGAAGGUUGGGUAACACUAACUGGAGGACCGAACCGACUAAUGUUGAAAAAUUAGCGGAUGACUUGUGGCUGGGGGUGAAAGGCCAAUCAAACCGGGAGAUAGCUGGUUCUCCCCGAAAGCUAUUUAGGUAGCGCCUCGUGAAUUCAUCUCCGGGGGUAGAGCACUGUUUCGGCAAGGGGGUCAUCCCGACUUACCAACCCGAUGCAAACUGCGAAUACCGGAGAAUGUUAUCACGGGAGACACACGGCGGGUGCUAACGUCCGUCGUGAAGAGGGAAACAACCCAGACCGCCAGCUAAGGUCCCAAAGUCAUGGUUAAGUGGGAAACGAUGUGGGAAGGCCCAGACAGCCAGGAUGUUGGCUUAGAAGCAGCCAUCAUUUAAAGAAAGCGUAAUAGCUCACUGGUCGAGUCGGCCUGCGCGGAAGAUGUAACGGGGCUAAACCAUGCACCGAAGCUGCGGCAGCGACACUGUGUGUUGUUGGGUAGGGGAGCGUUCUGUAAGCCUGUGAAGGUGUGCUGUGAGGCAUGCUGGAGGUAUCAGAAGUGCGAAUGCUGACAUAAGUAACGAUAAAGCGGGUGAAAAGCCCGCUCGCCGGAAGACCAAGGGUUCCUGUCCAACGUUAAUCGGGGCAGGGUGAGUCGACCCCUAAGGCGAGGCCGAAAGGCGUAGUCGAUGGGAAACAGGUUAAUAUUCCUGUACUUGGUGUUACUGCGAAGGGGGGACGGAGAAGGCUAUGUUGGCCGGGCGACGGUUGUCCCGGUUUAAGCGUGUAGGCUGGUUUUCCAGGCAAAUCCGGAAAAUCAAGGCUGAGGCGUGAUGACGAGGCACUACGGUGCUGAAGCAACAAAUGCCCUGCUUCCAGGAAAAGCCUCUAAGCAUCAGGUAACAUCAAAUCGUACCCCAAACCGACACAGGUGGUCAGGUAGAGAAUACCAAGGCGCUUGAGAGAACUCGGGUGAAGGAACUAGGCAAAAUGGUGCCGUAACUUCGGGAGAAGGCACGCUGAUAUGUAGGUGAAGUCCCUCGCGGAUGGAGCUGAAAUCAGUCGAAGAUACCAGCUGGCUGCAACUGUUUAUUAAAAACACAGCACUGUGCAAACACGAAAGUGGACGUAUACGGUGUGACGCCUGCCCGGUGCCGGAAGGUUAAUUGAUGGGGUCAGCGCAAGCGAAGCUCUUGAUCGAAGCCCCGGUAAACGGCGGCCGUAACUAUAACGGUCCUAAGGUAGCGAAAUUCCUUGUCGGGUAAGUUCCGACCUGCACGAAUGGCGUAAUGAUGGCCAGGCUGUCUCCACCCGAGACUCAGUGAAAUUGAACUCGCUGUGAAGAUGCAGUGUACCCGCGGCAAGACGGAAAGACCCCGUGAACCUUUACUAUAGCUUGACACUGAACAUUGAGCCUUGAUGUGUAGGAUAGGUGGGAGGCUUUGAAGUGUGGACGCCAGUCUGCAUGGAGCCGACCUUGAAAUACCACCCUUUAAUGUUUGAUGUUCUAACGUGGACCCGUGAUCCGGGUUGCGGACAGUGUCUGGUGGGUAGUUUGACUGGGGCGGUCUCCUCCUAAAGAGUAACGGAGGAGCACGAAGGUUGGCUAAUCCUGGUCGGACAUCAGGAGGUUAGUGCAAUGGCAUAAGCCAGCUUGACUGCGAGCGUGACGGCGCGAGCAGGUGCGAAAGCAGGUCAUAGUGAUCCGGUGGUUCUGAAUGGAAGGGCCAUCGCUCAACGGAUAAAAGGUACUCCGGGGAUAACAGGCUGAUACCGCCCAAGAGUUCAUAUCGACGGCGGUGUUUGGCACCUCGAUGUCGGCUCAUCACAUCCUGGGGCUGAAGUAGGUCCCAAGGGUAUGGCUGUUCGCCAUUUAAAGUGGUACGCGAGCUGGGUUUAGAACGUCGUGAGACAGUUCGGUCCCUAUCUGCCGUGGGCGCUGGAGAACUGAGGGGGGCUGCUCCUAGUACGAGAGGACCGGAGUGGACGCAUCACUGGUGUUCGGGUUGUCAUGCCAAUGGCACUGCCCGGUAGCUAAAUGCGGAAGAGAUAAGUGCUGAAAGCAUCUAAGCACGAAACUUGCCCCGAGAUGAGUUCUCCCUGACCCUUUAAGGGUCCUGAAGGAACGUUGAAGACGACGACGUUGAUAGGCCGGGUGUGUAAGCGCAGCGAUGCGUUGAGCUAACCGGUACUAAUGAACCGUGAGGCUUAACCUUACAACGCCGAAGGUGUUU
rnacentral:rRNA from 1 species